AUAUGUUCUUGGCCUUUUGGCUAAGAUCAAGUGUAGCAUAUGUUCUUAUCAGUUUAAUAUCUGAUACGUGAGGCAAUGACUCACUUGAUAUUAAAUUAAUUUCUUUAAGGGGAGAGUCUGUUACAGUAGCUUGUUGUUAGGGCUCUCAAGUCGCCUUUGCAUUGUACUAUUGCAUUGGCCUGGCACACCCUCA